UACAGAGGGGGCAAGCGUUGUUCGGAAUUACUGGGCGUAAAGGGCGCGUAGGCGGCCCGCUAAGUCGAACGUGAAAUCCCCGGGCUCAACCCGGGAACUGCGUCCGAUACUGGCGGGCUUGAAUCCGGGAGAGGGAUGCGGAAUUCCAGGUGUAGCGGUGAAAUGCGUAGAUAUCAGGAGGAACACCGAUGGCGAAGGCAGGUCUCUGGGCCGAUACUGACGCUGAGGAGCGAAAGCGUGGGGAGCGAACAGG
rnacentral:rRNA from 1 species